UACGUAGGGUGCGAGCGUUGUCCGGAAUUAUUGGGCGUAAAGGGCUCGUAGGCGGUCUGUCGCGUCGGGAGUGAAAACUCAGGGCUUAACCCUGAGCCUGCUUCCGAUACGGGCAGACUAGAGGUAUGCAGGGGAGAACGGAAUUCCUGGUGUAGCGGUGGAAUGCGCAGAUAUCAGGAGGAACACCAGUGGCGAAGGCGGCUCACUGGCCCGAUACUGACGCUGAGGCACGAAAGCGUGGGGAGCAAACAGG
rnacentral:rRNA from 1 species